rnacentral:rRNA from 1 species
UACGUAGGGUCCGAGCGUUGUCCGGAAUUACUGGGCGUAAAGAGCUCGUAGGUGGUUUGUCGCGUUGUUCGUGAAAACUCACAGCUUAACUGUGGGCGUGCGGGCGAUACGGGGCAGACUUGAGUACUGCAGGGGGAGACUGGAAUUCCUGGGUGUAGCGGGUGAAAAUGCGUAGAUAUCAGGGAGGAACACCUGUGGUGUAGACGGGCUUUCUGGGACCAUAGCUGACGCUGAGGUGCGAAAGCGUGGGAGCAAACAGG